CUUGACCUACGGGACGCAGCAGUCGGGAAUAUUGCGCAAUGGAGGAAACUCUGACGCAGUGACGCCGCGUAUAGGAAGAAGGUUUUCGGAUUGUAAACUAUUGUCGUUAGGGAAGAUAAAAGACAGUACCUAAGGAGGAAGCUCCGGCUAACUACGUGCCAGCAGCCGCGGUAAUACGUAGGGAGCAAGCGUUAUCCGGAUUUAUUGGGUGUAAAGGGUGCGUAGACGGGAAAUUAAGUUAGUUGUGAAAUCCCUCUGCUCAACUGAGGAACUGCACCUAAAACUGAUUUUCUUGAGUGCCGGAG
rnacentral:rRNA from 1 species